UUCUUUCUUCAGUUUCCUUUUUUCUUUACAGUCAUUAGUUAGUUUGUUUCUUACGCCGACGGCCGAUCGGCCCGGUCACGUGCCAUGGGUCGUGAUGGCCAUCGGACUCUUCUUUAUUUUCCUGUUUUCCAUUAAAUUGUGUCAAGAUUAAUUCAUCUAUUUCACCCCGCAUCUUUGCUUUACUUUUGUCGUUUGGAGUUUGACUGCGUCUCUCGCUUUCUGCUCUUGACGUCAAAACGUCACCGUAAUACUAUCAUUUUGUCACGUGCUUAUUUCAACCCAAAUUUGCAUUCGUGAGUCGUGACUAUUGGUCCGCCAUCUCAAUAUUCAUCUGACGUAUGCCGUUACCAUUUUUUUGUCUACAAUUCAUCACAUAACUCAUUAGCAUAGAUCAAUAGUCCAUUAUUGUAGAAUGAAGUCCGCCUCAACGAAAAACUACUUGGUUUUUUAAGACAGCAAAAAUCAACAUUGCAUCAGUAUUUUGGAUAAGUGAAGUUCAUACUAUGACAGUAUUUUAACCAUUCGGAUUAGAACUUAACAUAUUUAAAUAAAAUUAAAUUGUUUCAAGAUCCACAUAAAAUAUUUUGCUAACUAUCAACAUUUUCAUAAUAUGGCGCUUCUCGUGGAAACUGUCAUGAGUUCACUUUACAAUAUAUGCUCAACCAUCUAUGCCACAAAAUACAUCUUACCUGGAUUCAUUACAUAACUCAAUGGUAUAUAGCAGGCAUAGCCUAAGUGAGUAAAAUAAUAUGAAAAUUUAGAAUUCCUGCAUUUAUAAAACUCAUCCAUCGUUAUUUUAUAUAAUUAUUAAAAAAAGUAUUUGAGUCCUGUUAUUCAUUAUGAAAUAAAAAGACUUUCCUUUGUUUCUAUUUUUACUAUUGUUACCAGUCAUAUGUUUAAUUUAUGGUGAGCUACUUAAUAUAUAUAUAAUAGAUAGAUAACAUAUUGACCAAUCUAAUAUUUAUAUAUUAAUGGAAAAAGUUUAUUUUGAAAUCAAUACAACAUAUAGUUUUAUUAUAUAACUUAGUCAUUUUAAGUAUUUCUCAUUUAUCCUUAAGUUAUUAAUUAUUUAUUAUAAAUUUUAUUUUCAAAGAAAACUGUGAUACUUUAUUUUAAUUUUUAGUUAAAACAUAAAAAUUCAACAUUUCCUUCACCAGUUAAAAUUAAGGUAUAGCAUAACAGUACUCAUUAGUUACAAUAAUCAUAACUAGCAUUUAAAUCGAUGAACCACGUCAAAAUUGCCUCGUGACUUGUAAGUAAUUAAUUAUUCUCUCAAAAUUCUUAAUUAAGAUAAAAAUUCUCUCUAUCUCUAAUUAUAAUUUAAUUUAUUAACAAGAUAUUUUAAUUUAAUUAAUUAAUACCAUUUACAACUAUCUAUGAACUACGUUGAAACAUAUAUUGGCGUGGUUUAGUAUAAUAAUUAGGUUAAGUAAAUAGAGGUGGUAUUAUGCAUUCAAAGUGUUAGGAGUCGACUUCACAGUAUUAACUUGAGUUAACAUGAAGUUGCAAUAAGUGUAUAUAUUUUAGUAAGUUAAAAUUAAGUUAUUAAUUAUUAUGAGUCCAGUAAUUAUGAUAAGUUUUGUUACAAUUUAAGCAAAUCUACUCUUAUCUAGUAACCUGUUGAUUUCAACCAUAGCAACUUAAUUCCAAAAAAUUGUAUGAAAAUAACUAAGUGAUUUUUAUUUCUUUUCUCUAAUUAAUAAUCUACAUUCAUUAACAUACAUUUUUAUUGUUCAAAAACAAGAUACAAUGUUUUAGAUUAUUUUAAUUAUUAUUGAUAACUAAAAGUUAAAUCUUGAUUUUGUGUUGUAAUUCUUAAUAUUUAUUUUGAACAUUUUUUUAAUUACAAUAUUAUAUUUGAUCUUACUUCAUUACUAAAAUUUUAGAAAAAAAAAGUCUGUAUUAGAGAAUUUAUAGUAUUCGCAUUAGAUUCACUGGGUUUGGUAGGUUCAUUCAAAUAUUAAAGUUUUUGAAACUAAAUGUAGACUGUUAACAACAAUAUGCUAUAUUUAUAGGACAGACAACAAAUUCUGUUAAAGCAUCUUAUUAGUAACUAUGUUCUUUGAAACCGAAUCCUUUUCCAUUUUCUGAUUCUUCUCUACUUUUCUUGACAACUAUUUCUUAGUCUCAUCUUGAUAAGUCAUUGCUUUUAAAAAAUGUUGGAUUCACUCUUCUAUUAGUUUUUAUGAUAUCAAGUCUCUGUAUUAUUUUAUAAUUUAAAUUUAAAAUUAAGGGACUCCCAAGUAAAACUUAUUUUCUGUUUUCUGAAUUGAGCUAAUAAAUAAAUAUUAAUAUCAAUGUUAAUUACUUUUUUUGUCUAAAUCAUCUUUCUAUAUUCAACGAUUUAAUUUUAUUGGCAGUCAAAAAUGCAUAGGUAAUAAGUAAGUAAAUUAAAAAAUAAGAUAUUGUGAAUUAACUUUCAUAUGAUAAUUAUUUUAUUCUCAUAUUGUGAUAUUUUUAUCCUUAAUUUAUUAAAUAAUAAUAUUCUAAAUUGUAAUAUUACUGCCACAUUUAAAAUGUAUCUCCACUUUUUAAAAUUAUUUAUUAUAUAUACUGUUAUAGGCAGAUUUGGUUAGUUCUCAGUGUGAUUCCGUCGACACUGUAUUUAUGUAAGUUCACACUUAGGAUUACUUAGAGGUAGGAUAAUGGUUUAAUGACUUGUGGACACUUUGUUACACGAGUACGUUUAUUAACCUUUCUUUAGCUUAGUUACAAUACGACUGUUUCUACGAACAGCGUAAGGCGUCCGGUUAACUACAAAAUGCUUACAUGCCUUAUUCCCCCACAUGCUAAACUAAUGCAUAAACGCUUACAUACAGAUAUAUCUUAAUAAAAAUAAUAAUAAUACGGGGUUCGUAACAAUGCAAUAAAAUAUAUUUAUUCAGCAUUUACCUGUAAUUCAUCACAAACUAACUAUUAUACUACAACAUAAUUUCAUUUUAUUCUGGACUAUAUACUAUUACUCUUAUUCUUAUAUAUUAUACAUUGUUUUAAGUGAAUACUUAACAAUAGGGCCAAUGACCGGUGGAAUUAGAUAACAUGUUAAACAUUGUUAAUCGAGACAUUUUAACAUGUUGUAAGUGUAAAUAGUAUUUUUUAUUAAUUAUUAAGUUAACGUUUGGUUAUAUUAUUGAUGCUACACACGAUUCUAGUAGAUAUCUUGUUCUAAAGUCUAUCAAGACAUUUUGACAUGAUGUUAAGUGUAAAUAUUUUUAUACUGUUAAGUUAAUAUUAAGUAGUGUCAUUAAAUUGACCGUCUGAUCGCCUGAAACUGAAUUAGAUAACAUGCUUAUUAUUGUCAAUCAAGACGUUUUAACAUGUUGUAAGUGUAAUUAAUUUUUGUAUGUUUAAUGUACUGUAAGGCUAGUAUUAAGUUGAGAUUAGUUAUGAUGGUUUUUAUAGAUAGCAUGUUCUAAAUUGUUAGUUAAAAACAUUUGACAUGUUGUAAGUGUACAUCGUUUUUAUAUUAUUUAGUUAAUAUUAAAAUUAUAUUAAGUUAAUAUAAUUACAAUUUCUGAUUAUAGUAUAUUAUGUCAAUAGUUGACAUAAGCAAUUAUAGUAUUCUAAACGAGUUAUUAGUAAUUUAUAUUAUAUACACGUAUCUACAUUAAUUGUGUGAAUAAUAGAGCACAAGGUUGAAGAAUGUGUCCAGACACUUUGAUCUUGUUUAAGUUUAGGUUUAAAUUAAUUUUAGAUUUACUGAUGGUCUGAAGUUCACUCCCAAGCAUUAGAACACAAAUUCAAGAACGUUUCUUUUACGUCUAGAUUUUGUUGUAAGUGUACAUAGUAUUUUAAUACAAUUUAUUUUAUAUAUACUCUAUCCAACAAGAGAACGUACCGUGGACCGACCAAAAUCGGUUUUGUUCUACGCAUCCUCUAAACGUCACCCUGCUAUAGGGAAACCGAUAUCGAUAGCAGGUAGAUGCAGGAGCGUGCGCAGGAUUGGCUAGUUCUCUCGCUGGACAGAAAAUAAUAUUAGUUAUAAUUGCAUUAAUAAAUCAAGUUAAAAUACAUGAAUAUUAAAAUUUAAAUCGUAGUUACGUGUCAAGGAAAAGUAUUUUAUAAUUAAAAUUAGGAAAUUAUAAUUCUUUGGUCUUCUCAGGUUCAAUUCAAUAGUAUUUUUUUCUAAUUUCAAUGAAUCUUUGUUGUGUUAAUCUUAAUUAAGUACUAAAUGAAUAUUAAUUAUAAGUUUAUGAAUACUUUUAAUUAUUUUUAAGUAAUUUCUAAUAAUAAUUAAGAAGUGAUUAGGUCUUAUACCUUAUUUUCGAAGCUGGUGAGGGGUGUUUUCAAAUUGAUAGUAAUUUAUAUAUAAUUGUUUUUCCUCUUCAUUUCUAUAAAGAUUAUUAUAUUAAUACAUUUAACAAGUAUAAGUUAAUAUAGGUACAUUGUAAUAGAAAUACAAACUAAAUUUUUAUUUUCAAGAAAUAUUAACUUAACUGUGUCGACGCUUUUGUAUCUUGGUUUUGGAGACAGUUUUUAUUUGUAUCUAAUUUUGACCUGAAAUUUGAGUUAUUUAUUUUUGCAUUGGUGUAACUAUGUUUAUAUUAAUUUAUACUAAUUAGAUGUGUAUGUUAUACUGAACAAAAAAUAAUAAUAAAACUUAAUGUAUUAAUAUUAAGUUGGUCAAUUUUCAACAAUAAUAUAAUGUAUAUUAAAUUACUUUGAUUAAGUAUGAUAUUGUGUAGUUACUUCAAAUCAAGGAUAUUUUUAUAUAUAUUAUGUAUUUUUUUUUUUUUUUUUUUUUUUUUUUUAUCACAAUAAUUGUAUGUAUUAUUACUAAGUUCUUUGAAUUCUUGAAUAUUACAAAACCUGUUCGGUAAAUUUUAGAAAGCAUGAUCAAUUUAAUUUUAACAUUAUACCUAAAAUAUAUUGUUAGUCCGAAUUUAAAUACAUAUAGCUUCAUUUUGACUGUUUAAAAUGUAACAAAUAAUGCAAUUCAAAAAGUAUGUAUAUUAAUCAUGUCAAAAGUUAAUGUCUUAAAAUAAAAAUUAUAAUUUCAA